rnacentral:tRNA from 2 species
GCGGUCGUAGCUCAGUUGGUAGAGCAUUCGGUUGUGAUCCGAAUUGUCGCGGGUUCGAGCCCCGUCGAUCGCCCCA